AUUGUCAAUUAUGUUAAACAAAGUUAUUAAAUUACACAAAAGUAAGGCAGCCGAGCGGCAGCGUCAAGUCAACGGGAUUACACAUACGCGGCGUGGGCCAGGUGGAUCUGAAUUCCGGCUUCUGGCUUCUGGAUUCCAGCGACAAAUCAAUAAGCUCAGGUGUCGGGAUUUCCUAUUUUGAGGCGGUGGGGCUGGCUGUGCGUCCGCCCAAAUGGCAAGCUGAAAAUUUCCUUUUAGCACAUAAAGCCCGCGCUAUUAGCGGAGACGGAGGCUGCGGGGCCUACAGACACAACACCGGGAAUUACGCCACUCGGCGCACACUACACACUAAAAUAUGCAGAGAGUGGGGGGAGUGGCAGGACCCCGUAGACGCUUUUUAAUGUACCACGGCGGCGGCACAAAGAAUGUCUGCCCUUGCCAUAGACAUCAUAAAAAUUCGUUAAAAAUAAGGCACAAAGCGGCAAGAGCUGGAGAAACGACUUCCGCGAGCUUAAGCCCGGUGGUCCCCAAUGCCCGCCCUCCCUUUUGGAGCUCCUGCGUCGGCCACGUUUACCGGCACUUCGCAUUACGCAUACGCCACCGUUUCGCCUCGGUCCGCUUUCAACAGGAAGCUCACAUUGUUUUGGCCAUAUUUACUGGAGUAGGCGGCGGCCGUGCCCGGGGGCUGUUUGUGUGCCAGGCGCCAUAAGUAACAAAUAUUAUAAAUUAUUUAAAUUUUUAUUCAUGCAACGUUGUAAAGUUAAGCCCGCUGACAGUUAGCUAGUUUGGGCCCGCCGCUUUAUAUUUUUGUAAUUUUCCCCCGCUUUGGGUCCCUUCCCGGCUCGGGCCUUUGUGACCUUGACUCGCUGGCUCUUAAAUAUUGAUAAUGUCCUUUGAUCUCGGCCAAGCAGGGCUGACAAGCGGCAUUUGAACCAGAAGACCGGAUCCGACCUGCGUAUUUAUGCAAAUGCAGGAAGAAGUUAUGCCUAAUAAAAUUCUGGGGGACCGGGCAACGUCUUUUGUAUAACAAUGCAAUACUUUGCUCUCAUAUUUUCGCAUGAUUUAUGGAAGGAGGCGUAGAGCGAAGAUGCGAGUCAAGCGGGGCAAUAAAAAAGAAUGUCGCAGUUUUAUGAGCCCCGGCAAACGGCCAUAAAAUGUCGAGGCACAUAUGAGAAAAUAUAAAUAAAUCGAACGAUUAUUGACAAUUAUAAUGAUAUAUGGAUGCGUACUCAAAAGUCAUAAAUUGGCGGACGAAGGAAGGGUGCGCCGGAGGAGGAAGCAGUAAAAGGAUCCGGCUGUAUUAGCCAACUGGAUGGAACGCACGUGUGGCGCUGGGCGAUAAUUGGACGAGCUCGUUGCGUUUGUUUAUGCAAAUCGGGAUACGUAAUAACUCAAUUAGAUGUUGCAACUGGCGACCGAGGGCCGGAGGCUCCUUCAGCUCUCUGAUUGCUCGAAUCGAAUGCGGGCAACUGGCACAUUGACCGGGCGAACUGCUCACAUGGUUAUUGAGUGCUGCCUGCGUGGAGGGUUUCCAGCUUUAUUGAUGUCCCGCUGCUUUGUGGCGGACAAUUGUCGUCAUCGACAGCGACCUCGUCAUUUAAUUGUAAGUGAAACUGCGCUCCGAUAAUAGUAGAUGGAAAGCGCUCCAUGUGUUGCCAGUAUGUGGUGCGAGUUUCCCCCGUUGUGCGAGGUCAACAACCAGCGAUACGACCACCACUCGACGUCGUCGUACUCCGCCAAUCCAAUCCAAGUGCCGUCUCUAGUGCACCACUGUCUUUUCCGUGCCCCCACUGCACCGCCCCACAUACUGCGUGGCAGCACCAUCGGAAUCCGGGGCUGUUGACAAAAUAAAACACACUUUAAUUGA